rnacentral:rRNA from 1 species
ACGGGAGGCAGCAGUGAGGAAUAUUGGUCAAUGGAGGCAACUCUGAACCAGCCAUCUCGCGUGAAGGAAUACGGCCCUAUGGGUCUUAAACUUCUUUUAUAGGGGGAUAAAGUGAGGCAUGUAUGGCUUUUUGCAGGUACCCUAUGAAUAAGCAUCGGCUAACUCCGUGCCAGCAGCCGCGGUAAUACGGAGGAUGCGAGCGUUAUCCGGAUUUAUUGGGUUUAAAGGGUGCGCAGGCGGCACGUUAAGUCAGCGGUGAAAUGCAGGGGCUCAACCCCGGCACUGCCGUUGAAACUGGCGAGCUCGAGUACGGAUGAAGUCGGCGGAAUGUGAUGUGUAGCGGUGAAAUGCUUAGAUAUGUCACAGAACACCGAUUGCGAAGGCAGCUGACUAAUCCGCAACUGACGCUCAGGCACGAAAGCGUGGGGAUCGAACAGGAUUAGAUACCCUGGUA